UUUUUUUUUUUUUAAUUUGAGACAGAGUCUUGCCCUUGUCACCCAGGCUGUAGUGCAAUGGCACAAUCUCGGCUUACUGCAACCUCUGCCUCUUGGGUUCAGGCGAUUCUCCUGCCUCAGCCUCCCGAGUAGCUGGGGUUAUAGGCACCCGCCACUGUGUCUAAUUUUUGUAUUUUUAGUAGAGAUGGAGUUUUGCUCUGUUAGGCUGGUCUCGAAUUCCUGACCUCAAGUGAUCCGUCCACCUCAGCCUCCCAAAGUGCUGGGAUUACAGGCGUCAGCCACCACACCUGACCUCUUUUAGCUUGUUUUUCAUGAAGGACAUCCUAAGACACCAGCUGGACUGCAGCGUGACCUGACGACAUGUAAGUCCGAACGGACACAGAGCGGUGGCGUCUAUUUUGCCAGGCAGCGUUCUGGUGUGUGUUACAUCAUGUUCACACACGGCACCCGCAGGAGCCUUCUGGGAGGGAGGUGUUGUGAUUCGCCAUUUAUGUGAUUUCAUCAAUAUGCAUUUUAUCAGCCAUGCAGUUUUAAGGGGCAGAGCCAGAAAUGAGCCAAGCAACUGGCUCCACUGCCCACGCCAUCAGCCACCGUGCCAUGAUGCCUCUUGAGUCAUUCAGACUCCCGGCCCCGUCCGAGCUGACGCCUGUCACAGCCAUGCACAGGGCUGAGCGAAGCCUCGGGAAUGUUAAGGCAGGUUGCCGGUUGCCCCUGCAUCCUGUAGACAGAACCCAAGCAAGUCAGGGUGCUCUGUGCAGUUCUGAGCAUGAUGCAGUGGGAGACAGGGCAGCACUGGGUCCUGGGGCAGGGCAGGCCCGGCCCGGCUCCACCAGCUGUCUCCCACCUGCCCUCCUGGGGGUCAUUUAGGGGAAUAACAGUAGGCUGAAUCUCCUAGCAGGACUUAAUUGGAAGAAGUAAAAGUAUUGGGAAUUUCCUGAAGAAGAGCUUUUACACAAUAGAUAUUCUUGAAGUCCAUUUACCGUAGGCUGGUAAAUAAAGUAUUGAGCAAUCUGCUCCUAACCCACUCGCCCUCAUGCCUCACUCCCCUCUGUCCUACUGCACGAGCUCAUGGAAUUGCCUGUGGCUCUCCUGAUGAACCGUCUAUGGGUGUGUGUGUGUAUGUGUGUGUAGGGAGUAUUUGUGUAUUCAUAUAUUACUAGUGGAGCUUUUGCCUGUGCAAUUCUCGCUGCCUAAGACAACCCCCAUUUUGGUUUGAGGAGCAGAAUUCUUGCUCAUUCUUUAAGCUCAAGCUGCCAUGGUGCGUUCUCUAAUAAGCCUUCCUCACUUCUGGUUUUAGUUGCUCCACAGUCUGUGUUUGCAGAGAAAGUCUUAUUUUAGCACCACAUAGUAUCAUUACAGAUAGGGAGGUGUAUGUGUCAUCCUUUUCCUU
rnacentral:lncRNA from 1 species